rnacentral:lncRNA from 1 species
UCUUAGUAUUCCCAUUAGAUACAUCAGUUGAUUCUUUUUAUAGUUAUCCGAGGCCAUGCCAUUUGUCUCUAAUAGACAAUAGCUAUCUUCAAUAUUAGCCCUCAAUGUUUUUACUUAAGAGCCUUGUUUCUCUCUUCUAUCUUAUUAUCGACUCCGUGAAUUUCAAGACUAUAAAUCUAAAUAGACCUUCUCUACAAUCCUAAUUACAUCUU